GAUGAACGCUAGCUACAGGCUUAACACAUGCAAGUCGAGGGACCGGCGCACGGGUGAGUAACACGUAUCCAACCUGCCCUUUACUCGGGGAUAGCCUUUCGAAAGAAAGAUUAAUACCCGAUAUAAAGGAUGGGGAUGCGUUCCAUUAGGUUGUUGGUGAGGUAACGGCCCACCAAGCCUUCGAUGGAUAGGCGUUCUGGGAGGAAGGUCCCCCACAUUGGAACUGAGGCCCGGUCCAAACUCCUACGGAAGGCAGCAGUGAGGAAUAUUGUUCAAUGGGCGUUAGCCUGAACCAGCCAAGUAGCGUGAAGAAUUAAGGCUUAUUGGUCGUAUACUUCUUUUAUAUAAGAAUAUGUAUUAUAUGAAUAAGGAUCGGCUAACUCCGUGCCAGCAGCCGCGGUAAUAC
rnacentral:rRNA from 1 species